rnacentral:rRNA from 1 species
UACAUGCAAUUAAUCUGGCUCUCACGGGCCAGGUGCACAUAUUGGUUCAAAGCCAACAGGAUCUCGGUCCUAGGUUUUGAGAACUCUGGAUACUUUGUUGCCCAUCGUACGGCCACGUGUCGGCGAGGCAUUCCAUAGAUAACUGCCCUAUCAACUUGAAGCUACCGUAAGGUGCUAAGUUGGUUAUAACGGGUGACGGGGAAUCAGGGUUCGAUUCCGGAGAGGGAGCCUGAGAAACAGCUACCACAUCUAAGGAAGGCAGCAGGCGCGCAACAUAUCCACUCCUGAAACAGGGAGAUUGUGACAAUAAAUAACGAUGCGGAACUCAAUCGAGGCUCCGUAAUCGGAAUGAGUACACUUUAAAUCCUUUAACGAGGAUCAAUUGGAGGGCAAGUCUGGUGCCAGCAGCCGCGGUAAUUCCAGCUCCAAUAGCGUAUAUUAAAGUUGUUGCAGUUAAAAAGCUCGUAGUUGGAUCUAAGGAUUCGGAUGGGUGGUUCACCAUUCGGUGUGACUGCCUGUCUGGCCUUCUCUGCUGUGGACGGUUUGGGUGCUCUUAACUGGGUGCUCUUACUGCCCGGCAACAUUACUUUGAAAAAAUCAGAGUGCUUAAAGCAAGCUUAUGCUUGAAUGGUGAUGCAUGGAAUAAUGGAAUAGGAGUUCGCUUCUAUUUCGUUGGUUUUUGAAGUUGAACUAAUGAUUAACAGGGACUGCCAGGGGCAUUAGUACGGACGGGGGAGAGGUGAAAUUCUGAGAUCCUGUCCGGACUACCUACUGCGAAAGCAUUUGCCAGGAAUGUUUUCAUUAAUCAAGAACGAAAGUCAGAGGUUCGAAGACGAUCAGAUACCGUCCUAGUUCUGACCAUAAAUGAUGCCAUCUUGUGAUCCUAGCAGCUUGCAUGUUCGAGCGCUUGGGCAACCCCCGGGAAACCAAAGAUUUUGGGUUCCGGGGGAAGUAUGGUUGCAAAGCUGAAACUUAAAGGAAUUGACGGAAGGGCACCACCAGGAGUGGAGCCUGCGGCUUAAUUUGACUCAACACGGGAAACCUUACCCGGCCCGGACACUUUGAGGAUUUACAGAUUGACAGCUCUUUAUUGAUUAGGUGAUUGGUGGUGCAUGGCCGUUCUUAGUUGGUGGAGUGAUUUGUCUGGUUAAUUCCGAUAACGAACGAGACUCUACCCUGCUAAAUAGCGCUGGCAUAUCUUUAUAUGUCAAGUGACUUCUUAGAGGAACUAACGACAUUUAGUCGUAUGAAAAAGAGCAAUAACAGGUCUGUGAUGCCCUUAGAUGUUCGGGACGGCACGCGCGCUACACUGACUGCAACAGCUAGUGUGAUCCUGGCCAGAAAUGGUUGGGUAACCUGGCAAUCGCAGGCGUGACAGGGAUCAGAGCUUGAAACUCUUCUCUGUGAACGAGGAAUUCCGAGUAAGCACAAGUCAUUAGCUUGUGCUGAUUACGUCCCUGCCCUUUGUACACACCGCCCGUCGCUACUACCGAUUGAAUGUUUUAGUGAGGUCUUUGGACUGGCUCUGACGGAG